rnacentral:tRNA from 1 species
AGGGGUAUGGCCAAGUGGUUAAGGCACCAGACUUUGACUCUGGAAUUCGCAGGUUCGACUCCUGCUACCCCUG